CCCUGCCGCUCCGGCUCGCGGUGGGCUGGCCGGCCUGGGAGGCGAGAGCGGGCUCGCGCCGCCCCGCGCUCCGGCUGCUCCCGGGCCGACCGCCGUCGGCUGCGCCGGGGGUGGGGGGAGGGGUGGUCCCGCGCCGCCGAGCGCUCCUCCCCCCCCUCCCCACGCUGCUCCGAGGCCCGGGCGGCUCUGCCCAAUGAGGAGCGGCGUUGCUGGCAGGUGGCGAGUGUUUUUGUUUUGGGUUGAAGUUGAGGCUGAGGGGAGAGAAGAGCUAGCGACGAGUCGUGGCCGCCGCCGCGGGAGGUGGAGGAGGCCCAGCCGGAGCCGAGAGGUCUUUUCUCCCCGCCGGCGGCCCCCGCCCGCCGCUCCUCGGCCUCCUCCCGGUCCCGGAACUCCCGGGCCUGCCCGGGGCCCCUCGCCUUUGCACUCCGCUCGCCGCAGCGCCGGGCCCCGGCCGCACCCGCCGGCCUCAUGAGGAGGGACGUGAACGGAGUGACCAAGAGCAGGUUUGAGAUGUUCUCAAAUAGUGAUGAAGCUGUAAUCAAUAAAAAGCUUCCCAAAGAACUCCUAUUACGGAUAUUUUCUUUUCUGGAUGUUGUUACCUUAUGUCGCUGUGCUCAGGUCUCCAGGGCCUGGAAUGUUCUGGCUCUAGAUGGCAGUAACUGGCAGCGAAUUGACCUGUUCGAUUUCCAGAGGGAUAUUGAGGGCCGGGUAGUGGAGAAUAUUUCAAAAAGAUGUGGGGGCUUUUUACGAAAGUUAAGUCUUCGUGGGUGUCUUGGAGUAGGAGACAAUGCAUUAAGGACCUUUGCACAAAACUGUAGGAACAUUGAAGUACUAAAUUUAAAUGGGUGUACAAAGACUACAGACGCUACAUGUACUAGCCUUAGCAAGUUCUGUUCCAAACUCAGGCACCUUGACUUGGCUUCCUGUACAUCAAUAACAAACAUGUCUCUAAAAGCUCUGAGUGAGGGAUGUCCACUGUUGGAGCAAUUGAACAUUUCCUGGUGUGACCAAGUAACCAAGGAUGGCAUCCAAGCACUAGUGAGAGGCUGUGGGGGUCUCAAAGCCUUAUUCUUAAAAGGCUGCACACAGCUAGAAGACGAAGCUCUCAAGUACAUAGGUGCACACUGUCCUGAACUGGUGACUUUGAACUUGCAGACCUGCUUGCAAAUCACAGAUGAAGGUCUCAUUACUAUAUGCAGAGGGUGCCAUAAGUUACAGUCCCUCUGUGCCUCCGGCUGCUCCAACAUCACGGAUGCCAUCCUGAAUGCUCUGGGUCAGAACUGCCCACGACUUAGAAUAUUAGAAGUGGCAAGGUGUUCUCAAUUAACAGAUGUAGGCUUUACCACUCUGGCCAGGAAUUGCCAUGAGCUUGAAAAGAUGGACCUGGAAGAGUGUGUUCAAAUAACAGAUAGCACCUUAAUCCAACUUUCUAUACACUGUCCUCGACUUCAAGUAUUGAGUCUGUCUCACUGUGAGCUGAUCACAGACGAUGGAAUUCGUCAUCUGGGGAAUGGGGCCUGUGCUCAUGACCAGCUGGAGGUGAUUGAACUGGACAACUGCCCACUAAUCACAGACGCGUCCCUGGAGCACUUGAAGAGCUGUCACAGCCUGGAGCGGAUAGAACUCUAUGACUGCCAGCAAAUCUCACGGGCUGGAAUCAAGAGACUCAGGACCCAUUUACCCAAUAUUAAAGUCCACGCCUACUUCGCACCUGUCACUCCACCCCCAUCAGUGGGGGGCAGCAGACAGCGCUUCUGCAGAUGCUGCAUCAUCCUAUGACAGUGGAGGUGGCAGCCGUGGCGAACUGAGUAUUUAAUGACACUUCUAGAGUUACCGCGGAGUCUCCAGUGGAAGCGACCCAGUGUUCUGGGCAAGGGUUACCACGUGAGGCAGCGUCCAGAUUCCCAGAGCCACACGUACACAUACAUACCCAUCCACUCUCGCUCUGUGACGGGGGACUGAAGAUUGUGCUGGCUUUAUCAAGUGGAUUGAUAAAACUUAGCCAUUCCUGUUGGACGUUCCCAGAAGAAAAUCAUAGGCAAGUGUCUUGUUUUGAAGAAUUGGGGUGGGGAAAUGGUAGGUGAGAUUCAAAGUAAAAGAGAAAAUCAGUUCUGGAACUGGGGUACUUUGCUUCAGGUACAAGCAUCUGUCCUGAAUAUGUAGAAACAACUGCUUCACAUGUGAGUAGAUUUACGUUCCAUCUAAUGAACUCCAGGCCCUUUUUCCUUCUGCUUUCCACACACACCUAACCAGAGUCAUCCAGUGGGGAUUGGCACCACUGAAAGAAACCCCAGGGCUUCCCAGCUGCUUCUGGGCACGGUGUUCGCCAGGGCAAGAGCAGGUAGGCAGUGCGAAUCCCCACCCAGGAAGAGGUGGGAGGGAAGAGGUGUCCAGACACAUACUUUUUCUCCUCUGCCUUCCUCCAGGAACCCGGGGAAAUCUGUGAAGUGAUGUCUUUUAUAUUAAAAUGGAAGAAGAAGUUUGCCCCACUAAGUUUCGCUUGUCAUUGUCUCUUACUACAGUUUCUUACUCAGAUCCGUACCACACUGCUGUUCACACACGUAUGUAUGUGGUUCUUCUCUUAGCCUAACUCUUCCCAAGCACCAGAAGUCAUUAUUCUAUUUUGUUUUUCUUUUUUUACGGCACUAGUGAAUGAGAACCUAAAGUCUUAGAAAAUCCUGACUUGAAAAGGAGUCUCUAAUCGGCAUGGUUUGAUUAUUUUGCCUUUCCCCCCCUAAAGACUUGAAUGAUUUUCUUUCCUAGUGCUGUGAUAGAUCUGUAAUGAGGGAAACCUUUGCUGCUACUUUUCUGGGUUUACAACAGUUUUCUUCUUCCCUUAAGAAUAAUUUGUGUUUCUCUGACGACUGUUAAUUUCUAACAAGUGCAGGAGAGGUGAGCGGAGAUUUCUUCUCUUACUCCCCUCCUCGCCCUACCCCCAGGUUACACACUAACCUUCACAGCCUCUGUGGAUGGGGCGCGUCUCUUGGAGCUGGCCCCUGUGGCUCGGUGGCUGCCCAGCACUGAGGGUUACUUCUGAAUCUUGCCUUUCUCCAUUCCUGUGUUAUGACUCAACCUUCAAAUGCCUCCCACUCUGGCCGCCUCCAUUUUCCUCCCAGGAAUCAUUUCCAAGUGACCUGCCUUGGGCAUUUCCCAGCUGCUCUCCUCACCUUUGCCCACCUUCCAGUGACCCUGAGAGCACAGGCCUGAGAAAUGCGGCCUGUGCGGAGCUCAGAGAACUGUGAGGACUACCCCUGCCCGUCAGCUCUGCCUGGGUACAGAGAUGGAUGGGUGAAUGGUGCUGUGGGAGCAAUUUUUAUCUUCAAGCCAGGCUCGCUCGUCCCUGUACCGGGCAGCCCCCUUCUGUUCCCAGCCCUUGAAGGGUAGAAUGCAGAGAGGAUGGUUGACUGGCAGGGUCUGGUACCUAACAUUAUCAUCUGGCCUACGCUGGAGCGCUUCAGUGUGUGGGAGCUGCUGCUGACUUUCUCCACGAGGCCUGCCCAGCGCUCUGCCAGUCCCUGGCACCGACAGCCCCCCACGUGGUGACCUGACGCCAGGUUCCACUCGCUGUCCAAGUGACUGUUUCCACUACUACUUUUGGCGCUUGAGAUUGCGGGGGAGGGAGGGUUAUUUAAAAUAAAUAAAAGCCAGGUGGCAGUAGAGGAUUCCUUUUGCUUUAAAAUCUUUGGACUAAAAAGAAAUGUUUUUUAUAUAUAAAUAUAUAAAGUAAAUUGUUAUGUAACUAUUCUUGUUUCCUGUAUGUUCUAAUUUUGUUUUAUGAUGUAAUUAAAGGAAAUAAGCUGUGAA